rnacentral:misc_RNA from 1 species
GAAAUGCGAAAAGUAGUGUGAAUUGCAGAAUUCAGUGAAUCAUCGAAUCUUUGAACGCACAUUGCGCCCCUUGGUAUUCCAUGGGGCAUGCCUGUUCGAGCGUCAUUUGUACCUUCAAGCUCUGCUUGGUGUUGGGUGUUUGUCCCGCUUUUUGCGUGGACUCGCCUCAAAGCAAUUGGCAGCCGGCGUACUAGCCUGGAGCGCAGCACAUUUUGCGCAUCUUGACUUGAACGCUUGCGUCCAUUAAGCACAUAUUUUAACUCUUGACCUCGGAUCAGGUAGGGAUACCCGCUGAACUUAA